UGGGGGGAGAGCGCCGUAUUUAUUAGCCUCAAAACCGACUCCGUCCGCAAGGGCGGGUUUAUGGUGAAUCAUGAUAACUGAAGCGAACCGGUGCGCCCUCGCGGCGGCGGUGAACCGUUCAAGUUUCUGCCCUAUCAGCUUUCGAUGGUCGGGUAUUGGCCUACCAUGGCGUUGACGGGUGACGGAGAAUUAGGGUUCGAUUCCGGAGAGGGAGCCUUAGAGACGGCUCCUACAUCCAAGGAAGGCAGCAGUGGCGAAACGUACCCAAUCCCGAUUCGGGGAGGUCGUGACGAUGUAUAGUAAUGCGGUGUUUUUUCAAAUACUGCAAUUGCAAUGAGUACAAUUCAAACCCUUUAACAAGGAUCAAUUGGAGGGCAAGUCUGGUGCCAGCAGCCGCUGUAAUUCCAGCUCCGAUAAAGAACAUUGAAGUUGUUGCAGUUAAAAAGCUCGUAGUUGGAUUUCUGGCCGUUCUGCCUCGCCGCGUCGGGGGGAAACCUCCGUGCGUCGGUCGAGGGGCGGUCAUCACUUCGGGGGAACUUUCCGUCGAUCGCAAGGUCGCGGGAAGGGAAGCCGAUCCUUCACUGUGAACAAAUUGGAGUGUUCAAAGCAGGCUUUACGCUGUGAACAUUUAAGCAUGGAAUGAUAAAUUAGGACCUUCGUCUUAUUUGUCGGUUUUUUGACGAGAGUAAUGUUUAACAGAAACAGGGGGGGGUAUCCGGAUUUGGCAGUCAGAGGUGAAAUUCUUGGAUUUGCUAAGGACGAACAACUGCGAAAGCAUCUACCAACGAUGUUUUCAUUAAUCAAGAACGAAAGUUUGGGGAUCGAAGAUGAUUAGAUACCAUCGUAGUCCAAACUAUAAACGAUUCCGACUCGGGAUAAGCGGAUGUCUUUUUUCAACGACGUCGCUUGCACCGUAUGAGAAAUCAAAGUCUUUGGGUUCCGGGGGGAGUAUGGUCGCAAGGCUGAAACUUAAAGGAAUUGACGGAAGGGCACACAAGGAGUGGAGCCUGCGGCUUAAUUUGACCCAACACGGGGAAACUCACCAGGUCCAGACAUAGUGAGGAUUGACAGUUUGAAAGCACUUUCUUGAUUCUAUGGGUGGUGGUGCAUGGCCGUUCUUAGUUGGUGGAGUGAUUUGUCUGGUUGAUUCCGAUAACGAACGAGACCCGAGCUCUAAAAUAGUACGCGUUUUCUCGCGAAAGCGCGCGACUUCUUUUGAGGACUACCCAGGUUUACUGGGGGGAAGCGUCGGUCAAUAACAGGUCUGUGAUGCCCUUAGAUGUUCUGGGCUGCACGCGCGCUACAAUGACUGUAUCAACGGGUCUCUCUCCUCGCCCGGAAGGGCACGGGUAAUCCUUUCAAUUGCAGUCGUGAUGGGGCUAGAUGCUUGUAA
rnacentral:rRNA from 1 species